UGGCGGUCUGCUUAACACAUGCAAGUCGAACGAACUCUUCGGAGUGAGUGGCGGACGGGUGAGUAACGCGUGAGAAUCUGCCUGUGGGUCGGGGACAACCACUGGAAACGGUGGCUAAUACCGGAUGAGCCGAAAGGUAAAAAAUUUAUUGCCCACAGAUGAGCUCGCGUCUGAUUAGCUAGUUGGUAAGGUAAAAGCGUACCAAGGCGACGAUCAGUAGCUGGUCUGAGAGGAUGAGCAGCCACACUGGGACUGAGACACGGCCCAGACUCCUACGGGAGGCAGCAGUGGGGAAUUUUCCGCAAUGGGCGAAAGCCUGACGGAGCAAGACCGCGUGGGGGAGGAAGGUUUUUGGAUCGUAAACCCCUUUUGUCAAGGAAGAAGUUCUGACGGUACUUGACGAAUAAGCCUCGGCUAACUCCGUGCCAGCAGCCGCGGUAAUACGGAGGAGGCAAGCGUUAUCCGGAAUGAUUGGGCGUAAAGCGUCUGUAGGUGGCCAGCUAAGUCUGCUGUUAAAGAUCACAGCUCA
rnacentral:rRNA from 1 species